CCCCUUGUGCACACCUUGUAGGCACCCAAACCCACCUAUGUAUUCCUUCAUCUCACACUCUGUUGAAUGGUGCCAUGGGACGCAUCUAAAGGAUUAUUUGUAAAAAAGUAAUCAUAGAAACAACUUUCAACAAUGGAUCUCUUGGCUCUCGCAUCGAUGAAGAACGCAGCGAAAUGCGAUACGUAAUGUGAAUUGCAGAAUUCCGUGAAUCAUCGAAUCUUUGAACGCACCUUGCGCCUCUUGGUAUUCCGAGGGGCAUGCCUGUUUGAGUGUCAUUGAAACCCUCAAGAAGAAAGUCUUUCGGGGCCUUCUUUUUGGAACUGGAGUGUGCUGGCCUUUUCGUGGAAGAGCCCAGCUCCUCUGAAAUGCAUUGGCGAUGUGACAUCCUCAUGCCAUCACGCUUCUCUAGCAUUGAUAGUCUCUUUCAUGCUUUAGUGUGUUGUGCUUAGGUGGAAAGUUUCGCUCGCUUACA
rnacentral:rRNA from 1 species